GAGACUGGCAGCUGAGAGAUACCAAAAGGAAGAAAAAAGAAAACCAUUGCUCUUGAUAUUGCUAAUGCCGGGGGAGGUAAGCUAACGAGAAAGUAGGGAAAAGGAAGGUUUUAGAGUUCACCUCCACUCCUUCCCCUGGCUAACACUCUUUACACUCUUCUGCCUUCCCUUGAGAUAAUUAAAAUAGACUGUACACCGGCCCUAGUCGGUGCCCAUUCCCCCUAACUCUUCACUCAACUACGUGUGUAGUCCGAGGGAGUGAGGACCCCGGGUCCAAGAGCUCAAUCCCGGCCCCGCCCCGUCGGCCCAGGCCCCGGGGCUGGGAGGAGAGGAUGCCUUCGGAGGCGCAGAAUCCGAAAAGAUGUGGUUGGAGCUGGAAGCUGUUAUCCUCAGCAAACUAAUGCAGGAGGAGAAAACCAAAUACUGCAAGUUCUCACUUAUAAGUGGGAACUGAAUGAUGAGAACAUUUGGACAUGAAGACCAAAUCUCCAGGAUUGUGAAUCAAUCAGAGAAUGUUUAGAAGCUGGGCAGAGAAAUCGAGCUGCAAAAUGACCUACAGAUAUUACAGUUUUAUUCUUGGAAAAUGGAGGUUGUCUAUUAGUGUGAUGGUAACAACCAACUAAUAAAAUUUGGAGACUAGACUGCUUGUCAUGUCUGGGGUUCACUGGAAAUCAAUGAUUCACUGGAACAAUUCUCCUGUCAAAAAAAAUGUGAGGUUUGUAACUUGCCCUAAGUAUAACAAGGGAUAUAUUUUAACAAAGGAUGUAUUUUUUCUUAAGAAGCAACCAUUUCUCAGCUUAUACAUAAUAGCAAUAAUAAAGUCUUUGACCCUA
rnacentral:lncRNA from 1 species